rnacentral:rRNA from 1 species
GUCAUUAGUCAGCAUCCUUGUGGUUUGAUCCCCUCUGAUCUGACAAGCUAAGCAGGAUCAGGAUGGAUCAGGGUUUGGAUGGCAGACCUACAGGGAAAAUCCAGGAUGCUGGUGGCA